CGGGCGGCGCUGUGUCCGUCGCCAUGACAGAUCAGACCUAUUGUGACCGCCUGGUGCAGGACAUGCCUUUCCUGACAGGCCACGGGCGCUUGAGUGAGCAGCAGGUGGACAGGAUCAUCCUCCAGCUGAACCGUUACUACCCACAGAUCCUUACCAACAAGGAGGCGGAAAAGUUCCGGAACCCCAAGGCAUCCUUGCGUGUGCGGCUCUGUGACCUCCUGAGCCACCUGCAGCGGAGCGGUGAGCGGGACUGCCAGGAGUUCUACCGAGCCCUGUAUAUCCAUGCCCAGCCCCUGCACAGCCGCCUGCCCAGCCGCCACGCUCUGCGUAAGUUCCACGUCCCCAACCAUGCAUGCUUGGUGCUGGCCCAGGGAGGGCACCCCAGCCUGCUGUUGAUGGCAUGGAUGUCCUCCAUGACCACCCAAGUCUGCUGCAGCCCAGGCCUGGCAUCCCCUCUCACCUCAGCCCCUCCCCAGAGGCCACCCACUGGCCCCGAGGGGAGAAUGUGGCAGGCACAGGCAGUGCAGAUGUUGGUCUCUGUCUCCCACUUUCUCCUCCUUCCUCCAUCUCUCUCUCUCAUGGCAGUUUUCACACAGCAUGGGGCAUCUUGUACGUCCACUCUUGCCCUUCCUUUUCUAACCUCAUUCCACGGGGAUCCCUUCAUGUCUGUGUGGACAGCAGCCUUGUUCCCACAGCUGCAUGGCGCUUCUAGGUGGUCCCAGCUGGAAUUACCCAACCCCAUGACGGACCCUUUCAUUGCAGCGAUCUGCACACGUGUGGGUGUUUCCAUAGGGC
rnacentral:sRNA from 1 species